rnacentral:rRNA from 1 species
UACGGAGGGUGCAAGCGUUAUCCGGAUUCACUGGGUUUAAAGGGUGCGUAGGUGGGCUAGUAAGUCCGUGGUGAAAUCUCUGAGCUUAACUCGGAAACUGCCGUGGAUACUAUUAGUCUUGAAUCUCGUGGAGGUAAGCGGAAUAUGUCAUGUAGCGGUGAAAUGCUUAGAUAUGACAUAGAACACCGAUAGCGAAGGCAGCUUGCUACACGAGUAUUGACACUGAGGCACGAAAGCGUGGGGAGCAAACAGG